GAUUUCAGUCGGCUGACUGCUCCUGAUAGAACUCAUCCUGAUCCAUCAUCUGCCCUCAGAUGCCAGUCUGACUUUCUUCUCCCUGCCGGAUUGUUGCUUUCCACUGAAAGGAACCCACAUUCGGAAUCCUCUCCUGCCAAUAGCCAUGCAACACACUGAAACAUCAAGUCUGCAGCCACACUGAGGAACACAGCCCAGAACCCCCUCAAGCCAGUCCAGCCAUCUUCGUACCCAGCACCGUAACUGCCAGCCCAUACUCACAGCUUCCCCUUCUGCCAGCCCAGGAAUCUUCU